CCGCCUCCUCUUCCUUCGUCCCUCUGCUAUCCGUCGAAAGAGCAGAAGGCUUUCGAUCCCUUUGUCCUUCAACUCCCCAUCGGACCCGAUCUCGGGUGCUCCGUCUCCAUUCUCGAAGCUCUGAUCAUUGGGCUAAGAAAGAUCUGGGGAUUGGAGGGCGGAACGAACGACGACGAGGGUGGAAGGUCGACGCAAUCGGAGGUUGGAGUCUCUUCCAUUGGAUGCCUUGGCGGAUCCCAUGCCGUCGAUUUGAUCGUCGAAGUCCGAAGUAGAUGUUCCGUAAGAACGACUCGGCCUUGUCCUGCUUCUAUCUCUUCUUGCUCUGGUUCUUCUUCCUAAAAUAGCGAGGAAGGAUCCGAACCCUAAGCUGCGACGAGUGCUUUGCGAUGGGGAAGAGGUCGAACCGGAUCGAGGACGAGUUUCUUGGCGGAGCGAUGUUGGACCUCAACUUGGCGUCUUCCAGCGAGCGCUCUGGCGCCGGGCAGGUGGAUGAUUCCAGGAGUUCCAAUUCGUCCGGCCUCAACGCCGAGGUGAUGGUCGAUGUGAUCGACGAGGAUUACUGCUCCACCCAGCCUGCCGCUGCCUUCGAAUUCAGUAUCUUGAAGAGCUGUACGUCGGGUGAAGGCGGGAAUGAAGUCGAAGAGGAGAACGAGGACGAUCGGCGACAACCUGGUCUAGUCACGAGGCAGCUGUUUCCACCACCGCCGGUGGUUCCGCAUGUUUCCCAACUGCCCAUGGUUGCUUCUUCCUCGUCGUCGACCAGGCCGCAUUGGUUGGAUUUUACGUUCUCGCAUGCCGAGGCACCAACGGAGUUGAGAGUUACCCAUAAGCAGCAGCAGCAGCAGCAACAACAACCGCAACCACAACCGCAACCGCAACAGCAGGUGAAGAGGAGUCGAAGGGGGCCACGGUCUCGGAGCUCUCAGUAUCGAGGCGUUACCUUCUACCGCAGGACAGGGAGAUGGGAAUCUCACAUCUGGGAUUGCGGCAAACAAGUUUAUUUGGGUGGUUUUGACACGGCUGAUGCUGCCGCAAGGGCAUAUGAUCGAGCUGCGAUUAGAUUUCGUGGAGUUGAUGCUGACAUCAACUUCAAUCUCAGCGACUAUGAAGAAGAUCUGAAAGAGAUGAAAAAUCUACCAAAGGAAGAAUUUGUGCAUGCCCUUCGUCGCCAAAGCACUGGGUUCUCGAGGGGAAGUUCAAAAUAUAGGGGAGUGACUCUUCACAAGUGUGGUCGCUGGGAAGCUCGCAUGGGGCAAGUCCUUGGCAAGAAGUACAUAUAUCUUGGGUUAUUCGACAGCGAAAUAGAAGCUGCAAGGGCUUAUGACAAGGCAGCUAUAAAGUAUAAUGGAAAGGAGGCUGUUACAAAUUUUGAUCCAAGUACCUAUGAAGAAGAACUACUUUUGGAGGGUGAUAAAGAAGGCCAUGAUAUGGAUCUGAAUUUAAGGAUUUCGCAACCUGCUGUCCACAAUCAGAGAGGGAAUCAAAAUCCAACGGGUGUUCAAUUUGAACCUUCUGAUGCUGACAAAGCAAGACAGGAUGAGACAGAAGAGCUCUGAGUAGGUUGGUUCACAAGCUCUCACUGUUUCCGUCUGCAGAAUCACCAGGAUGCUGCUCUUUAUCAACAGCAAUGACCAGCUUAAACAACCCAUGGUCUCCGUUUCUCCCCAGAAGCUGUUUCAGUAUCGGUGCAAUGUUGCAGACAAAACAACAGUGAACAUGCUGUAAACCUAUCAACAGGGUACAACAGCAAAAAGCAACAAGUGCAAGUGGACCUGUACCUGGAUAUUAAACUACUCCGCUCCCGAUCUCACAAUUGCCACUGCCUAUCUUUCAACCAUUAAAAGGAAAAGGAUAAGCCGCAAAUUAUUAGAGACGUACCACCGUUCGUCCAAACACCGCCAGAAGACUCUUCCCACAUAAGCCAAAGUUAAUUUGACAUCUGCCUUCUCGGGCUUCGUCUUCGUUCUUCCCGAGGCUCAAAGCCCACAAGUGUUACAUCCAGCAUCACUUGGAGAUUUUGUUAAUUUCCCUUACAUUUUGUUCUCCAAGAAUCACUUGGAGAUUUAGCAAUCUUGCCAACACACUUGUGCAAGGUUUCUUUCAUGGAGUUGCAGGUUUUCCAUUCGGCCUUACAUCAGUAGUCUUCAGGGUCGUCAUCCCUGAAUUCAGAUACAGCAAGAUCCUAACAAGUUACUGUGAAGAUAAGAAGAUAAUGCAUCACCAUCAUGGUUUGGUCUCCGAUCCAACUUAGAAUCCAAGGUGAUGUAGUUGCCAUUACUUUGGGCUAAAAUACUGGUGUUAUACCAUGCAAUGGUGAGCAUAAGAAGAUUCCUAGGCCAUUGUCCUCGGGAAUCUUCGCUGAAUCUGAUCGCUAGACCACCUUCUGCACUGUCUUCCAGCUUUCCAAUCGAUAGCUAUGUCCUCCCCCAUUAUCUGCAUUGCUUUCAAGAAGGCCAAGCAAAAUCAUUCAAAAGCAAGCACUGGGGAAGAAAGAUCUCAACUUUUUUUUCCUCCCGCGGGCACCGACCACAACCAGGAGAGACAAAAAAAACCAGAUGGAUCAGAUGCCAGAUCGAAUGGAAGAAGGUAAGGAAGGCAGGCCACAUGAGGAGAAAGAAGAAGAUGCAAAGAUCCGAGCACUGCCUCUUGGGCCACAACAAGGAAAGCAUAGAUAAAGUAGGAGAACCUCACUCGAGGGAAGACGAUGGAAUCCAGUGAUCUCUGUUGCCACGUCCCGCUUUUAACUUGAAAGCAUCUCUUCCGCAUUUAUGUUCCUUCAUCCGUUCCAGUUGCAAUGCAGAUUUCAGUC